rnacentral:rRNA from 1 species
GGGUAAACCUGAGAAACCCGAAAGAUCGAAUGAAGAGAUUCAUCGUCAGUAUGAUUGGUUUACAUGUGUUUUGCGAUGAAAGUUAAAUUUAUUUAAAUUUUACGCAAGCACUGUGUAUAUCUGAUUAUGCCGGCGUGCACUUCUCUUCUAGUAGAACGUUGCGACCCGCUAAAUGUUGGCCUAAGGACCAAGCUAUUGACUGUUUCAAACGUUUAUUCGUAUUGUUAACAGAUACUUGGAUUUCUGGCUAACUGUUUGGCGGUAAACAUAAUGGUAUUGAGCCGCAAAUUUUUGAAUGCGUUCAGACUCGUUACAAGCUUAAUCAUUGAUAAACCUGGAUAACGGACUUUGUGCCGUUUUUGGGAGUGAUUGACUGUUGGUUAACGAUGUUCUCGAACUGGCUUAAUUGAAUAAACAACAAUACUGGUCAGCGACGCUAUUGCUUUGGGUACUUUCAGGACCCGUCUUGAAACACGGACCAAGGAGUCUAACAUGUGCGCAAGUCAUUGGGAUUUAUUUUAAACCUAAAGGCGCAUUGAAAGAAAAGAUUAACCUUGUGUUAAUUAAAGGAGGAUAAGUAAGCUAUAAUUGUUUGCUUCGCACUCCUGGGGUGUCUCUUAAAGUCAUUAUGACUUGAGGCGCACCUAGAGCGUACACGUUGGGACCCGAAAGAUGGUGAACUAUGCCUGGUCAGGAUGAAGUCAGGGGAAACCCUGAUGGAAGUCCGUAGCGGUUCUGACGUGCAAAUCGAUCGCAAGAACUGGGUAUAGGGGCGAAAGAC